GACGAACGCUGGCGGCGUGCUUAACACAUGCAAGUCGAACGCUGACGCUCAGCUUUUGUUGGGUGGAUGAGUGGCGAACGGGUGAGUAACACGUGAGUAACCUGCCCCCUUCUUUGGGAUAACGCCCGGAAACGGGUGCUAAUACUGGAUAUUCACUGGUCUUCGCAUGGGGGUUGGUGGAAAGGGUUUUUCUGGUGGGGGAUGGGCUCGCGGCCUAUCAGCUUGUUGGUGGGGUGGUGGCCUAGCAAGGCUUUGACGGGUGGCCGGCCUGAGCGGGUGACCGGCCACAUUGGGACUGAGAUACGGCCCAUACUCCUACGGGAGGCAGCAGGGGGGAUUAUUGCACAAUGGGCGCAAGCCUGAUGCAGCGACGCCGCGUGAGGGAUGGAGGCCUUCGGGUUGUGAACCUCUUUCGCUCAUGGUCAAGCCGCAACAAUGGUUGUGGUGAGGGUAGUGGGUAAAGAAGCGCCGGCUAACUACGUG
rnacentral:rRNA from 1 species